rnacentral:rRNA from 1 species
CCUACGGGUGGCAGCAGUAGGGAAUAUUGCUCAAUGGGGGAAACCCUGAAGCAGCAACGCCGCGUGGAGGAUGAAGGUUUUCGGAUUGUAAACUCCUUUUGUUAGAGAAGAUAAUGACGGUAUCUAACGAAUAAGCACCGGCUAACUCCGUGCCAGCAGCCGCGGUCAUACGGAGGGUGCAAGCGUUACUCGGAAUCACUGGGCGUAGAGAGCGCGGAGGUGGGAUAGCAAGUCAGAUGUGAAAUCCUAUGGCUUAACCAUAGAACUGCAUUUGAAACUGUUAUUCUAGAGUAUGGGAGAGGUAGGUGGAAGUCGAGGUGUAGCGGUAAAAUCCGUAGAGAUCAAGAGGAAUACUCAUUGCGAAGGCGACCUGCUAGAACAUAACUGACGCUGAUGCGCGAAAGCGUGGGGAGCAAACAGGAUUAGAUACCCUAGUAGUC